UUUGCUGGUAUGUGAGGCAUCUGAAUUGACUAAAACUGUCUCCUGAUUCUGUGCUUGUUUGUCUAUCUCUGUAGCUAAUUCCAGACCUCUCCCCCACACCCCCAAAAGAAAAAGACUUCAGUCUUUUUAACAAUGGAUGUGGGGAUGUUGGAGAUCCCUGCCGAACUGUCGGCAAGGUUUCGGAGGGCAGCAGGAUAUCGACACUCGGCAACAGUGACGGAGGUUGCAUCUCCGCAAGUAAAGGCAACACACAACCUCACUCUGCCUCAAGAUGUAGACAGAUACCCAUUCUCUCACUACGCCAAGUCCAUACUAA